rnacentral:rRNA from 1 species
UACGUAGGGUGCGAGCGUUGCCCGGAUUUAUUGGGCGUAAGGGCGCGUAGGCGGCUCGGCACGUCCGUUGUCGAAAUCGCCCGGCUCAACUGGGCGGGGUCAGCGAUGACGGUCGAGCUUGAGCAAGCUAGGGGGUAAUGGAAUUCCCGGUGUAGUGGUGGAAUGCGUAGAUAUCGGGAGGAACACCAGUGGCGAAGGCGGUUACCUGGGGCUUUGCUGACGCUGAUGCGCGAAAGCGUGGGAGCG